ACGGCUACCACUUCUACGGAGGGCAGCAGGCGCGCAAAUUGCCCAAUGCCAAGAAAUGAUGAGGCAGCGAAAAGAAAUAGGUCUCCUAAACAUCUUUACGGUGUUUGGGAGUUGCAAUGGGGGAUAUCUAAACCCAUCCAAUAUCGAGUAACAAUUGGAGGACAAGUCUGGUGCCAGCACCCGCGGUAAUUCCAGCUCCAAGAGCGUAUAUUAACGCUGUUGCUGUUAAAGGGUUCGUAGUUGAAUUGAGGGCUGUCAAGGAGACGAACAAGUCCCGUYCUUCGGAUAGGUGACCUUCGCUCUUGCAGUUCGUGAACAUCAGAAACAAACAUCUCGGAAGUGUUUCCUCCCAACCUACGCAUGCAAUGUAUGCAGGGGGGCGUCCGUGUGUCUUACUGUGACUAAAAAAGUGCGACCAAAGCAGUCGUUCGACAUGAAUUAGAAAGCAUGGGAUAACAAUUGAUCAGCCUACGGGUUACCGUUUCGGCUUUUGUUGGUUUUAGAGAUCUGUAGGAGAUUAUGGACUCGCACGACAAGCGGUUCGGGGUUCCGUCCCCACGCCUCCAUCGUUUGCGGCUUUCGGGUCCAGGCGGUGGCUUGCGGCGUCCAGGAAUGAAGGAGGGUUGUUCGGGGGAGAACGUACUUGAACGUGAGAGGUGAAAUUCUUAGACCGUUCAAAGACGAACUACAGCGAAGGCAUUCUCCGAGGAUACCUUCCUCAAUCAAGAACCAAAGUGUGGAGAUCGAAGAUGAUUAGAGACCAUUGUAGUCCACACCACAAACGGUGACCCC
rnacentral:rRNA from 1 species